UAGAGCCCGCCCCCAGCUUGGCGCCGCCGCCGGCCUCAGCCCAACAUGGCGAUGCACAACAAGGCGGCACCGCCGCAGAUCCCGGACACCCGGCGGGAGCUGGCGGAGCUCGUGAAGCGCAAGCAGGAGCUGGCGGAAACACUGGCCAACUUGGAGAGACAGAUCUAUGCUUUUGAAGGAAGCUAUCUGGAAGACACUCAGAUGUAUGGCAAUAUUAUUCGAGGCUGGGACCGGUAUCUGACCAACCAAAAAAACUCCAAUAGCAAAAACGAUCGAAGGAACCGGAAAUUUAAGGAAGCUGAGCGGCUCUUCAGUAAAUCCUCAGUUACUUCAGCAGCUGCAGUAAGUGCAUUGGCGGGAGUUCAGGACCAGCUCAUUGAAAAAAGAGAGCCAGGAAGUGGGACAGAAAGUGAUACUUCUCCAGACUUCCACAAUCAGGAAAAUGAGCCCAGCCAAGAGGACCCUGAGGAUCUGGAUGGAUCUGUGCAAGGAGUGAAACCUCAGAAGGCUGCUUCUUCUACUUCCUCAGGGAGUCAUCACAGCAGCCAUAAAAAACGAAAGAAUAAAAACCGACACAGCCCGUCUGGCAUGUUUGAUUAUGACUUUGAGUAUGUAUAUUAGGUUAGGCUGGGAAGUUUUUUUUAAAAACAGAAAAACGUGAUGGAGGAUCGAUCUGAAGUUAAACAAAAAACCAAGAGCUGAUUAUUAGAAGACUCCAUAGUGCAGAAGCUUCCAGACUAUAGAGCUCUGCUUCCCUCCUCUGACCUCACACCACAAAGAUAAAACAUCCCUCACCUGAAUGCGUGGCCAUCCACUUCUGCUUUCCCAGACCCAGUGCCUGUGACUGAGUAGUUUGUUUUGAAAUGUGGUGACAAACAAGUUAUUUCCAUAGGACAACAUCAGAUCAUUUACUUUGUGUCAUUUUUAGUAACAGAACUGCAGGAAGACCAGGACAUGGUUGUAAUCCGGCAAGUUGCUAACUGUGCAUUUCUCCCUUCUUGAAAUGAAUGUCUCUCUCCUCACUAAUUGGCGGGCACCACCUCCAUUUGUGAUACCCAUUGAGAAAUGUUCUCUGGUUUUGUUUUAAGCUGAAAGUAGAGCACAGGUCACAUUUCAGAGGGAGGCUGUAAAUAUUUGACAUUUUCUUAUUUUGUUUGUGUUUCAUUAUUUUUCUAUUGUUGUUUUUACCACCUGUCUUCUUCUGAGAUUUUUUUGUAAUGCUGUUGUACAACUCAGACCUUCCUGCUGCAUAUCUGAUAAUCCAUUUUGUGCAGUUGCCAAUAUUCUUAACUGAAAAUAAUCUGGUUUAUCAUAAAUAAAAUGGGGAAUUUGACUUUUUUUGCAGGGGGAAGGUAAAACAUGUUUAUUUAAUAAUUACCUAUCUUAAAUCUUUCUGAGUUGGAAGCAGUUUCAUGUUCAAGAAACAGGAAAAGCUGAAAAACAAAUUUAAAUCAGUACUUUAAAAAUAGAUAUUUUUAUUUUUUUGUAUAAAUAAAGUUUCAUAGGCUUUGAUGUUUCAUGAUUUAAAAACUGAGAUUGUUUUUUCACUUAUUUAUUUGUAUCAUGCCUUGUGGAAAUUUAUUUUUUCGUAUUUUCUUUACUGGUAUUUGCUUGAUUAAGAAUUGCUCCGAAAAUCACCA